AUGCGAGGGAUGGAGGGGGCGGCGGCGGGGGUGUGGGGCGGGCUCAACUCCGGCGUGGUGCUCAGCCUCAUCGCGGUGCUGUGGACGGUGGUGUGGCAGAACCUGCAGCACCUGCAGCUGCAGCACUUCUUCAAGCGCCACCUCGGCCGCCACGCGCGCCGCCUCGCCGCCCUCGUCGACCCCUACCUCUCCGUCACCAUCGCCGAGUACGACGGCGGCCGGAUGCGCCGCGCCGAGGCCUACGAGGAGGUCAAGGCCUACCUCGCCGCGUCCACCUCGCGCAGCGCGCGCCACCUCCGCGCCGAGGGCGCCCGCGACGCCGACCGCCUCGUGCUCAGCAUGGUCGACGGCGAGGAGGUCUCCGACGCGCUGCUGCCCGAGGAGGGCGGCGGGACCGUCUUCUGGUGGGCCUACUCCCGCCCGCCGCCGCAGCAGGACCGGCGCUGGGGCGGCGGAGGCGGAGGCGGGGACGAGGAGAACCGCCUCUUCUUCCUCGACCGCCACCGCGACCAGGUCCUCAACGCCUACCUCCCGCGCGUCCGCCGCCAGGGACGCGCCGUCAUGGUGCAGAACCGCCGCCGCAAGCUCUUCACCAACAUCUCCACGCACCAGUUCAGCGACGGCGGGUACACGCGCUCCGCCUGGACGCACGUGCCGUUCGAGCACCCCAAGACGUUCGCCACGCUCGCCAUGGACCCGGCCAGGAAGAAGGAGGUCAUGGACGAUCUCGACGCCUUCAAGGCCGGCAAAGAGUGGUACGAGCGCGUCGGCAAGGCGUGGAAGCGCGGCUACCUUCUGCACGGCCCGCCGGGGACGGGCAAGUCGGCCAUGAUCGCCGCCAUGGCCAACCACCUCGACUACGACGUGUACGACAUCGAGCUCACCUCCGUGCACUCCAACACCGACCUCCGCAAGCUCUUCAUCGGCACCACCAGCAAGUCCAUCAUCGUGAUCGAGGACAUCGACUGCUCCCUCGACCUCACCGGCGCGCGCCCCAAGAAGAAGGACGCCGCCGCCGAGGACGAGGACAAGGCCAACAAGGGCGACAAGAAGGGCGCGGCCGACACGAGCAGCAAGGUGACGCUGUCGGGCCUGCUGAACUUCAUCGACGGGCUGUGGUCGGCGUGCGGCGGCGAGCGGGUGAUCGUGUUCACCACCAACCACCUGGAGAAGCUGGACCCGGCGCUCAUCCGGAGGGGCCGCAUGGACAAGCACAUCGAGAUGUCCUACUGCCGCGGCCCGGCGUUCGAGUUCCUGGCCAAGGCCUACCUGGGCGUGGAGGAUCACGAGCUGUUCGGCACUGUGGGCGCGCUGCUGCAGGAGGUGGACAUGACGCCGGCGGACGUGGCCGAGAACCUGACGCCCAAGAGCGCGGACGACGACGCGGGCGCGUGCCUCAGGGGGCUAGUGGCGGCGCUGGAGAAGGCCAGGGACGACAAGGCCAGCGGCGGCGGCCAGGAGAAGCAGCCGGAGGAAGAGGACGGGGGAGUGGUUGCCGCCGUUGACAAGGAGUGA
rnacentral:rRNA from 1 species